rnacentral:rRNA from 1 species
AGUGAACGCUGGCGGUAGGCCUAACACAUGCAAGUCGAACGGCAGCACGGUAAGAGCUUGCUCUUACGGGUGGCGAGUGGCGGACGGGUGAGGAAUACAUCGGAAUCUACUUUUUCGUGGGGGAUAACGUAGGGAAACUUACGCUAAUACCGCAUACGACCUACGGGUGAAAGCAGGGGAUCUUCGGACCUUGCGCGAUUGAAUGAGCCGAUGUCGGGUUAGCUAGUUGGCGGGGUAAAGGCCCACCAAGGCGACGAUCCGUAGCUGGUCUGAGAGGAUGAUCAGCCACACUGGAACUGAGACACGGUCCAGACUCCUACGGGAGGCAGCAGUGGGGAAUAUUGGACAAUGGGCGAAAGCCUGAUCCAGCCAUACCGCGUGGGUGAAGAAGGCCUUCGGGUUGUAAAGCCCUUUUGUUGGGAAAGAAAAGCAGCAGGUUAAUACCCCGCUGUUCUGACGGUACCCAAAGAAUAAGCACCGGCUAACUUCGUG